GGCACUUUAGUGUAGAGGUUUAGCACGUCGAUUCUGAUUUCGGAUUCCUGGGUUCGACUCCCAGAAGAGCCU